rnacentral:sRNA from 1 species
GAACAGGAGCUCCGGGUUCUGGUGCAGAUGGCGCCGCCAUUCGGUCACUUCGUUCUUGAGCUCGGCGGCACGGUUUAGAAUCGGCAUUGUUCGUUCCUGUCGAUCUGUUCGUUCACUUUGGUUCGGCACGUGAGGCCCGACGCUUCCGCAUCCGGCUGGAGUCUCGCCGGCGGAGUGUCCGGGCGGUGGAUUGG